rnacentral:rRNA from 1 species
GACAGAGGGUGCGAACGUUGUUCGGAAUUACUGGGCGUAAAGCGCGUGUAGGCGGCAACGCAAGUCGGGCGUGAAAGCCCCGGGCUCAACCCGGGAACUGCGUCCGAUACUGGCAGGCUUGAAUCCGGGAGAGGGAUGUGGAAUUCCAGGUGUAGCGGUGAAAUGCGUAGAUAUCUGGAGGAACACCGGUGGCGAAGGCGGCACCCUGGACCGGUAUUGACGCUGAGGCGCGAAAGCCAGGGGAGCAAACGGG